GACGAACGCUGGCGGCGGGCCUAAUACAUGCAAGUAGAACGCAGUUGAGAAAGGGGGAGUAACGCGGAGGGAAAUGCAUCAUAGCGGGGGAUAACAAAUGGAAACGAUAGCUAAUACCGCAGACAGUGAGAUGGACCUGCGUUGUAUUAGCUAGGUGGUGAGGUAAAGGCUUACCAAGGAGACGAUACAUAGCCGACCUGAGAGGGUGAUCGGCCCACCUGGGACUGAGACACGGCCCAGACUCCUACGGGAGGCAGCAUUGUGGAAUCUUCGGCAAUGGACGGCAGUCUGACCGAGCCACGCCGCGUGGGUGUAGACGGUUUUCGGAUCGUAAAGCUCUGUUGUUAGAGAAGCGGUAACUAACCAGAAAGGGACGGCUAACUACGUGCCAGCAGCCGCGGUAAUUC
rnacentral:rRNA from 1 species